UACGGAGGGGGCGAGCGUUAUUCGGAAUUAUUGGGCGUAAAGGGCGCGUAGGCGGCCCGGUAAGUCAAAGGUGAAAUCCCCGGGCUCAACCUGGGAACUGCAUUUGUGACUGUAUGGCUGGAGUGCGGCAGAGGGGGAUGGAAUUCCGCGUGUAGCAGUGAAAUGCGUAGAUAUGCGGAGGAACACCGAUGGCGAAGGCAAUCCCCUGGGCCUGCACUGACGCUCAUGCACGAAAGCGUGGGGAGCAAACAGG
rnacentral:rRNA from 1 species